UGGGUACAGAGUGAGAGUGAUACAGAGAGAUGGAGAGAUGGGUACAGAGUGAGAGUGAUACAGAGAGAUGGAGAGAUGGGUACAGAGUGAGAGUGAUACAGAGAGAUGGAGAGAUGGGUACAGAGUGAGAGAGAGUUACAGAGAGAAAGAGAGAUGGGUACAGAGUGAGAGAGAGUUACAGAGAGAAAGAGAGAUGGGUACAGAGUGAGAGAGAGUUACAGAGAGAAAGAGAGAUGGGUACAGAGUGAGAGAGAGUUACAGAGAGAAAGAGAGAUGGGUACAGAGUGAGAGAGAGUUACAGAGAGAAAGAGAGAUGGAGAGAUGGGUACAGAGUGAGAGAGAGUUACAGAGAGAAAGAGAGAAAGAGAGAUGGGUACAGAGUGAGAGAGAGUUACAGAGAGAAAGAGAGAUGGGUACAGAGUGAGAGAGAGUUACAGAGAGAAAGAGAGAUGGAGAGAUGGGAACAGAGUGAGAGAGAGUUACAGAGAGAAAGAGAGAUGGGAACAGAGUGAGAGAGAGUUACAGAGAGAAAGAGAGAUGGGAACAGAGUGAGAGAGAGUUACAGAGAGAAAGAGAGAUGGGUACAGAGUGAGAGAGAGUUACAGAGAGAAAGAGAGAUGGGUACAGAGUGAGAGAGAGUUACAGAGAGAAAGAGAGAUGGGAACAGAGUGAGAGAGAGUUACAGAGAGAAAGAGAGAUGGAGAGAUGGGUACAGAGUGAGAGAGAUACAGAGAGAGAGAGUUACAGAGGGGGAUACAGAGAGAUGGGAACAGAGUGAGGGAUACAGAAUGAAAGAGAGAUGGGUACAGAGUGAGAGAGUUACAGACAGAAAGAGAGAUGGAGAGAUGGGAACAGAGUGAGAGAGAUACAGAGAGAGAGAGUUACAGAGGGGGAUACAGAGAGAUGGGAACAGAGUGAGAGGGAUACAGAAUGAAAGAGAGAUGGGUACAGAGUGAGAGAGAUACAGAGAGGGAUACAGAGAGAUGGAGAGAUGGGAUCAGAGUGAGAGAGAUACAGAGAGAUGGGUACAGAGUGAGAGGGAUACAGAGAGGGAUACAGAGAGAUGGGUACAGAGAGGGAUACAGAGAGAUGGAGAGAUGGGAACAGAGUGAGAGGGAUACAGAGUGAGAGAGUUACAGAGAGGGAUACAGAGAGAUGGAACAGAGUGAGAGAGUUACAGAGAGG
ensembl:lncRNA